GGCCGUGUGGCGAAAUGGCAUCGCGUCUGACUACGACGAUGUAAUCAGGAGAUUGCAGGUUCGACCCCUGUCUCGGUCA